GUGUUUGCUACAGCGGCACAUAUACUAAAAUUGGAAUGAUACAGAGAAGAAUAUCAUGGCCCCUGCCCAAGGAUGAUAUGCAAAUUCAUGAAGCGUUCCAUAUUAAA